rnacentral:rRNA from 1 species
AGACGAACCGUCCAAACGUUAUUCGGAAUCACUGGGCUUAAAGGGUGCGUAGGCGGCGUAGUAAGUUGGGUGUGAAAUCCCUCGGCUCAACCGAGGAACUGCGCCCAAUACUGCUAUGCUCGAGGGAGACAGAGGAAAGCGGAACUGAUGGUGGAGCGGUGAAAUGCGUUGAUAUUAUCAGGAACACCGGUGGCGAAAGCGGCUUACUGGGUCUCUUCUGACGCUGAGGCACGAAAGCUAGGGUAGCGAACGGGAUUAGAUACCCCAGUAGUCC